GGAUUGUGGCUCAGUGGCAGAGCGCUCACCUAUCAUGUGCGAGGCCCUGGGAUCGAUCCUCAGCACCA
rnacentral:tRNA from 1 species